UACGUAGGGUGCAAGCGUUGUCCGGAAUUAUUGGGCGUAAAGAGCUCGUAGGCGGUUUGUCGCGUCUGCUGUGAAAACUCAGGGCUUAACCCUGAGCCUGCAGUGGGUACGGGCAGACUAGAGUGUGGUAGGGGAGAUCGGAAUUCCUGGUGUAGCGGUGGAAUGCGCAGAUAUCAGGGGGAACACCGGUGGCGAAGGCGGAUCUCUGGGCCAUAACUGACGCUGAGGAGCGAAAGCAUGGGGAGCGAACAGG
rnacentral:rRNA from 1 species